CAGUCACUGGAGCAGUUCGGGCGUUUGCCGGAUGCCCUGGUCGCCUGUGUCGGCGGGGGAUCGAAUGCCCUGGGAUUGU
rnacentral:tRNA from 1 species